rnacentral:lncRNA from 1 species
UGCUGCGUGACUGCUCCUGGUGCCAAGGCCACCGCUGCCAUGAGUCUGAAUGGCUAAUGCUGAGAUUAGCAGGGCCUCCCUUCUACUGGCCUGUCCUCCUGGCUCUCCUCCCUUUUGCCUCUUCUGGAUUUCAGCCAUUGCAGGGGAAAUCCUCAUCUUUCCCACUCACUGCUACACUCACUGUGAUGUGUUUAUAGACCUUCGGGGACCACACCUCCUCCAGCUGUCUGCCUUACUCGAAAAUUAGACCCAGCUUGUCCCUGACUUCUAGUAGCCAGAAAGUCUUCCACAAGAUCCAGCCGCAUGAUACGGAGUACACACAUAAAUGUGAAAACAAACCCCUCCAUCCUUUCCCACUGUAAAUCAACAGCACAUGC